UGGGGAAUUUUGGACAAUGGGCGAAAGCCUGAUCCAGCAAUGCCGCGUGUGUGAAGAAGGCCUUCGGGUUGUAAAGCACUUUUGUCCGGAAAGAAAUGGCUCUGGUUAAUACCUGGGGUCGAUGACGGUACCGGAAGAAUAAGGACCGGCUAACUACGUGCCAGCAGCCGCGGUAAUACGUAGGGUCCAAAGCGUUAAUCGGAAUUACUGGGCGUAAAGCGUGCGCAGGCGGUUGUGCAAGACCGAUGUGAAAUCCCCGAGCUUAACUUGGGAAUUGCAUUGGUGACUGCACGGCUAGAGUGUGUCAGAGGGGGGUAGAAUUCCACGUGUAGCAGUGAAAUGCGUAGAGA
rnacentral:rRNA from 1 species